AACGAACGCUUGCGGCAGGCUUAACACAUGCAAGUCGAGCGCCCCGCAAGGGGAGCGGCAGACGGGUGAGUAACGCGUGGGAAUGUACCCUUUGCUACGGAACAGCUCCGGGAAACUGGAAUUAAUACCGUAUGUGCCCUUCGGGGGAAAGAUUUAUCGGCAAAGGAUCAGCCCGCGUUGGAUUAGCUAGUUGGUGGGGU
rnacentral:rRNA from 1 species